rnacentral:sRNA from 1 species
AACACAUCGAAAGGAGGUGAUCCAGUGUCUCAUUGUCUUACAUCGCGGGCCCGGACCUGGCAUCAUGCCUUCUUGGGGGCUUUCGGCCUCUAAGCCGCCUUAUUCCGGGAUCGCGGACCGCGAUCCGACAAUGGAAGGACCGUCUCCCGAGCAGUUUUGCGAAGGGGCGGUCCU